rnacentral:rRNA from 1 species
UACGGGGGGGGCAAGCGUUGUUCGGAAUUACUGGGCGUAAAGCGUGCGUAGGUGGUUUGUUAAGUCUGAUGUGAAAGCCCUGGGCUCAACCUGGGAACGGCAUUGGAAACUGGCUUACUAGAGUGCGGUAGAGGGGUGUGGAAUUCCCGGUGUAGCAGUGAAAUGCGUAGAUAUCUGGAGGAACACCGGUGGCGAAGGCGGCAUCCUGGACCAAUACUGACGCUGAGGAGCGAAAGCUAGGGGAGCAAACGGG